rnacentral:lncRNA from 1 species
GGAACCUCUAAUGUGUGUGACCCCGCAGGUUCGAACCUAAACCGGUAGCACAGGAACCAAUUCCUGUACUAAUCGAAGUGACCAUCUAGCAAUGGUACCCGAUGUUCGGAUAGGUCGAAGAGUCACAAUCGCAACACUCAGAUCCUACAUGAAUAUGGUUACUGUAUAAUUCAUCCUUUUGACCCCUAUAUUUAGGAUGACUCAGGGUUAAACUGUCAACCCUGAUUAGAUCAUCCGAAUCGUGCUCAACUCAAACAGUCCUGUGACUUCUCACAAGGACUACCCUGGCCAAGGUUUUGCUAAAUUGAAACAUGACUGUACACAGCUCCUAAACUGGAGUGGUCAAUCCUAUCUUGACACACGCACCGACAAGUCAAGUACUUGACUACACCCAGCAGCCUUCCGUCACUGAAUUAGAAAUUCAGGUAGUCCAGUGCCUAAGUGCAGUGAGUUGCUUGCAAGUCACCAUGACGAUC